rnacentral:rRNA from 1 species
GACGUAGGAUGCGAGCGUUAUCCGGAUUCACUGGGCGUAAAGCGCAUGUAGGCGGUUGGUCAAGUCGUGUGUUAAAGCCCCUGGCUCAACUUGGGAAGGGCAUGCGAGACUGUGCGACUUGAGGGCAAGAGAGGCACGUGGAACUCCCGGUGUAGCGGUGGAAUGCGUAGAGAUCGGGAAGAACACCAGUGGCGAAGGCGACGUGCUGGGUUGCACCUGACGCUGAGAUGCGAAAGUGUGGGGAGCAAACGGG